rnacentral:rRNA from 1 species
AGUGAACGCUGGCGGUAGGCCUAACACAUGCAAGUCGAACGGCAGCACAGUAAGAGCUUGCUCUUACGGGUGGCGAGUGGCGGACGGGUGAGGAAUACAUCGGAAUCUACUUUUUCGUGGGGGAUAACGUAGGGAAACUUACGCUAAUACCGCAUACGACCUACGGGUGAAAGCAGGGGAUCUUCGGACCUUGCGCGAUUGAAUGAGCCGAUGUCGGAUUAGCUAGUUGGCGGGGUAAAGGCCCACCAAGGCGACGAUCCGUAGCUGGUCUGAGAGGAUGAUCAGCCACACUGGAACUGAGCCACGGUCCAGACUCCUACGGGAGGCAGCAGUGGGGAAUAUUGGACAAUGGGCGCAAGCCUGAUCCAGCCAUACCGCGUGGGUGAAGAAGGCCUUCGGGUUGUAAAGCCCUUUUGUUGGGAAAGAAAAGCAGCAGGUUAAUACCCCGCUGUCCUGACGGUACCCAAAGAAUAAGCACCGGCUAACUUCGUG